UAUAUUCAUAAAAUAAACGAUAUAUAUAUAUUUAUAAGAAAACGAUGUUAAUAAGACAUAUUUAACAUGAAAACUUUGUAUUCUCAACAUUACAUUGUUACUUUGAAAUGAACAAAUUUCACGAUUUUUUUAAUCUACGGAAGACAAAACGGGACAUAAUAUACGUCGUGAAUAUGCAUUAUUUUAUUAUAACAUGGUAUUUUACUGUACUGGUCGGGGACCAUCAAACGAACACUUUUUGAACAAUUUUCCGUACAAAUUUCAUAAUUUCUAACCUAGAGACCUUAAAAUUUGACACAGUUCAGCUAGGUUCUUCUCCUAACUAACAAACUAGUUUGUUUAUUUCUGAUUGUAUUGACACUUAUAUCUGAGGCUCCACAAGGAGGGUAUCAAAAUCACCUAAAUUGUCUACACUACAGUAUUAUGUGUCUGGACAGAUAUGUACAUCACGUGAUUUAAUUAAGAUAAAAGCUUGAGGUGUUUUGAUUUUAGAUUUUUAUCAUGAUAUACAAUAUUUCAGCAACAAAUGCUGAAGUUUUGGAUAUUCUAUUGUUUACUCUGCAAAUGAUUAUAGCUGGUAUAUGAGGUCAGGCAAUGCUUUCUUGACCCCCAAAUUUCAACGUCAACAUUCUAGAAAUAAACAAUAAAAAUAUUACCAUUUACGUAGGUUGAAAUAAAUUUAUUUACUUAAUUUUAGAAGAAACAUGCAUUUAUUGUUGAUGAAAAAGUGACUGACAACCACUGAACAAAGAAAAUACUAAAUAAAGCAUUUUCGGGGCCGUCAGGGUUUGGUGGUUGUCUGGUUUUGGUGGUCCCAAACCAGUAUACAUGUAUAAAACAAUGUUCAGAUUUACAUGUAAAUUUAUAUUUAGAUAUAUAUUUUGCAUUAUUAAACAUGUAAAUGUACAUAAAUAAAAUCAAUACUUAAUUUCAGAUACGACAUCCAUGAUUUACACACCAAAGGUCAUUUGAUGAUUAUUUUAUGUUCAGCUGUCUCUUGUAUCAAGAUGAUACAAGCCACAUUACCAAACCAUGCUGAUGGAACAAACAACGAUAUGAAGGGCGUUGCAUUUCGAAACCCGUUGUGCAUUUCUGAUUUCGGGAUCUACAAGUAAAUAUCAACAUGGCAACAGAUUCUACAACGUGCGUAUUUUGUGCGCAGGAUAUCCAGAAUGGGUCCCAAUUGUCACUCUCAGAGAGAAGGGAAGCCACAGUGUUAACCAUGCUAGCGAUCUGAGGAAUUCAAGUAUACAAGUAUACGAACAAUUACAGGCCAAAUUGUGCACCAAGACUGUAGAAGGGAUUUUAUUCACAAUAGAAACAUUUCAAAAUAGUUCCAAUGUUAAGUGUAACCAAGUUAAAAGACCUUUAAGAUCAAAUGCUAACUUUGCUUUUAAGUGUAAUUGCUCGUUCUGUGGUAAGCCUGCUAAAGUUGCAUCUGGGAAACGUAGAUGUUCAUCCUGGUAGAAGUUUUGAUUUUCAGGAAACACAUCGUCGGAACCCACGGUACACAUUUCGUAUCUACUACAUUUAAUAUUAUUACCGAUACAUGUAUACGGUAAAAAACAUGGGUUUCCGAGGAUGCAGGAAACAAUAUAACUUAAUUAAAUGUUCUGAGAGAAACAAUCUGUGGGGAAAUGUUGUUUUGGACAGACUGUUGUCAGUUUUGGAUUUUCGUCAGAUUCGAAGAAUGUAUAUUACAGAUCAGACAAUGAAAACCCAAAUAGUUUGGCAUAUAUAUUCAAAAGACACCAAAAUGUGAUUGGAAUAGAGAUUUGUUAUCUCCUACCAUUCCUGCACGCUUUCUCUAGAUUGUGACAGUUCUUAAAAUAAUGUGUAAAAAUGAAGUGUUCCGGCAAAAUGCUGCAA